AUCCGGGUUUUGGCCUUAGCUACGCUGCUGGACCCAAGAUUCAAAACUAUUGACUUUGGCAAUCCAGACCAUGUCAGAGAGGCUGAGAGACAACUCACCUUGGAAUGCGCAUCCCUAAUGUGGUCCUCGCCAGACACUGUGCACGUGACACCCCAAGAGCCACAGCCUUCAACAUCAGCCCUGGCCCCAUCCUUGGAAGCAGCAUGUCCCACAGACCAUCUAUGGCAACUUUUGGACUUGCGUGUUUCCGAGGCUCAAAGAGUCCACAGUGCCACUGCAGAUGCCACUGUGGAGGUGAAGAGAUAUCUAACAGAUGCCUAUCUUGGUAGACAAGAAGAUCCACUCCUGUAUUGGAAGGAGAGAAUAACUGUUUACCCCAAUCUUUAUCAGCUUGCCAUCAAAUAUCUUUGUCUGCCAGCAACGUCUGUUCCCAGUGAACGCAUUUUAUCAAAGGCUGGGGAAGUCCUCUGCAAAAAAAAGGAGUCGCCUGAAGCCCAGCACAGCAGAGCAAAUCAUUUUUCUAAAUAAAAAUGUCUAAAACCGCUGCACUCGCCAACUUUAUUGAAAGCUUCCCAGGUCAAAGUUCUUGAGCGUCCACAUUCCAGUGAUAUUUGAAAUGGUUGUGUUGACAGAAACUUGAAUGUGUUUGGCUAUGUGGCUACCUCGGACUUUGGAAGGAGCACUUGGAUUGACUACAGUUCUAUUUCUACACUUUUUUCUUGGAUUUGUACGACUAUUUCACUCCAGUUUUUAUGGAGUUGUAAGUGUGUGUUUUUGGGAGUGUUUUUUCCCUCUAUAAAGGAUUACCAAAAACUACAAUGCAUUUUGGAUGAGUUUUGAGAAGUGAUUUAGGCCUAACAAAUGUCUCAAGAUCACCAGUCUGUCAAAAACCACUGACGAGGCGGACACUUUGGAAAUUUAAGAGGU